ensembl:lncRNA
GGAAAGAAGAGGGAUAUAAUUUCCAACCCAGGAGGGAAAGAAGUGGUGGGAGUAGGGAUAAUGUGUCAAUCCAACAAGGCAGGAAAAGGAAAAAGAACUAAAGGAAAACUAGUAAAGAGAAAACAAAGAGUAACACGACCCCAGAUGCAUCAGGGUAAAGGGUUAUACUCGUAUGUUAAACAACUACCAGAUAAAAGGCAAAUAACGAGUGGUCUGAAGCCUGGAGAGACUGGUCAGUGGGCACAGGGGCUGAACAGGAACCACCCUGGCCUUCGCCAUAGAAGUGGUUCUGUUCUUUAAAUAACUUGUUUUUCCCUUGUGCUAUAUUCUGGCCUCUCCUCAAUUGUUUCUGUCUGGGUUUGCCUUGCUACUGAGAUAGUAUUGUUUUUCCAGACCGCUUCCUGCCUUCUGUAUAUACGUAUAACAAAACCCUGGAUUCUGUCCUGCCACAGGACACCAACACACCAUGCAGGGACUCGUUUAAGGGCAGGUGUGGUGCAGCGCCGAGACCCUGCACCCCCCGUCCCCCUGCCCUGCUGCUUGCCCAUGCCCCAGGACUCAGCAUCCCUCCCUUGGAGCCUGUUUCUUAGGGUGCACCAUCGAUCCUCUCGCAAUGAAGACUGAUGGUUUAUUUCUCCCGGGCUUAUUGGAAAGUUAGCCAGGCUGGAAGAGCUGUAUUAGCUCUUGCUUUCUGGUUUCCUGGCUGCCAACUCUGGACAGCGUCAGCAGUCCUGGAGCUGAGAUCUCAGACUGAACAUCCAGUCAGAGUGAGGUGUCCUGCAGUAAGACGGGCUCCUGAAGCAGACACUGCCGGAGGGGUUGUAACUGGGGAGCAAGGGGGCCUGAGUCACUAGGAUAACUGAGGGGUCUGUGCCAGAGGCUGGUGCCAGUGUGUGGCAAUGGAUGAGUUCAGGCAGCCAGGCAUGCAGAGGUCAAGCCAGCCGUUCUCAGAUCAAGGACGUGGGCUCCAGUUCAGUGAGAAGGGGGGUUGUCGGGUCCCUCCCUCCGCAUCUUGACUGAUUCCCACCCCCACCCCCCAGGCAUCUGCUGUUGCCACACCCAGGAGGCAGGCAAUUUGCUGGGUUGCUCGGUGGCCAGGUUCUGGGACACAGGGAGCACUUUGAUUAUUGUACCCCAGUAAGUGGGAAAAGCCUCUCUGUAAGGAAGGCAGUGAGAGCCUGUGGAGGGAGCCCUGGCCUUGGAGCCAUCAGCCCUGGGAUGGCAUUAAAGCUCCGUCCCUCACCGCCUGGCUGACCUCGUUCGGCUGUCUUGGGACUUCUGUGAAUACCGAAUGAGAGGCUGUGCCUGUGAAUGCUCAGAAACGCGGAAAGCAUCACACAUGUGAGUACUAAUCUGUGGCUUGAUGCCUUUCCGUUGAGGCUCUGAGACACAUCCUUAGGCCGCGUGUCUGGGUGGAAAGAGCGAGCUUUAUCAGAGUCUCGGGCUGGGAUUUUCUUUCCUUCUGUCCAACCCCUCCAGCUUCAAGCAGCCGCCCUCCCCCCAGCCUCUGCUCCUUAUUUUGACGUUUCUUUUCUCUGCCUGCCAAGAAGAUUGUGUUCAGCUGCGCUGGUCUGAGGCUGUGCUAUCCUGUGCUUCAUUAGGUUAAUUCGAUGGCUUGUCUCCUGGGAACGGACCAGAGACUGGCUCUAAAACCGCACUCGCCUCCAAAACCCAGUUCCCACUGUUCUCCUUUGGGGCUGGCUUUGCUGCUCAGUUCCAUAUGCCUGCUUUUCCUUUCUUCCACCUGCAAGCUGGCUAGGGCCUCCUUUGGCUUCCCUUGGUUCUUUGUAUUGGUGUAGUUGUUCAGGCUUGCAUCCCCUGCUGGGUAGAAGGCUCUAGGGGAGACCAACAACAGUUCCUCAAGCCUGCCCUCGACCUUCUGGAUUCUAGUCGCCAGUUCCUCUGUUCAGCCUCAGCAUCUUGAAUUCAGCAAGCCUUUCAGAGGGCAUUUAUCAUUAAACGAGGAUUGCUUCUCAUCUAUCUCUGUAAAUCUCCAACCGCAACUGUAAAGGUGCAUCACUCCCCGUGCCUGAGCCCGGGCUCCGCUUCGCCUCCUGCUAGCCUGCAUAUGGGAUCUCAGCUCCCCAACCAGGGAUCCCCACACCCCCUGCAUUGGAAGGCAAAGUCUUAACUACCGGACCACCAGGGAAGUCCAUGAGCUUAAGCUUUUAAAUCAGCUUCACAGGACAAGCAGACUGGACUCACCAGUUUUAUAAUUCAUUGAUCCCAAAUAUCCAGUCUUUGGUGAGAAACUUCAUUUCCACCCAGUCCAGAGGAAGACUACAGUUGCUCAGAAUGUCUUCUCACACGGGACAUCACAAAAUAAAUUAGCCCAGGACAGAUGGGGGAACUUUCUAAUCUCUCAUCAUGUUCCCAUGCCAUAUUUUCUGUGAGAAAGAUGUUUUUAAAUUUUUCUUAAAAAAAAAAUACUGUUCACAUCCAUGUUUUUUAAGUAAUGCCAGAU